GAUGAAGAACGCAGCGAAAUGCGAUAAGUAAUGUGGAUUGCAGAAUUCAGUGAAUCAUCGAAUCUUUGAACGCACAUUGCGCCCGCCAGUAUUCUGGCGGGCAUGCCUGUUCGAGCGUCAUUACAACCCUCAGGCCCCCGGGCCUGGCGUUGGGGAUCGGCGGAAGCCCCCUGCGGGCACAACGCCGUCCCCCAAAUACAGUGGCGGUCCCGCCGCAGCUUCCAUUGCGUAGUAGCUAACACCUCGCAACUGGAGAGCGGCGCGGCCACGCCGUAAAACACCCAACUUCUGAAUGUUGACCUCGAAUCAGGUAGGAAUACCCGCUGAACUUAAGCAUAUCAAUAAGCGGAGGA
rnacentral:misc_RNA from 1 species